rnacentral:rRNA from 1 species
AUUGAACGCUGGCGGCAUGCUUUACACAUGCAAGUCGGACGGCAGCAUAAAAGAGCUUGCUCUUUUGAUGGCGAGUGGCGAACGGGUGAGUAAUGCAUCGGAACGUACCGAGUAGUGGGGGAUAACUGUCCGAAAGGAUGGCUAAUACCGCAUAUUCUCUGAGGAGGAAAGCAGGGGACCUUAGGGCCUUGCGCUAUUUGAGCGGCCGAUGUCUGAUUAGCUAGUUGGUGGGGUAAGAGCCCACCAAGGCGACGAUCAGUAGCGGGUCUGAGAGGAUGAUCCGCCACACUGGGACUGAGACACGGCCCAGACUCCUACGGGAGGCAGCAGUGGGGAAUCUUGGACAAUGGGCGCAAGCCUGAUCCAGCCAUGCCGCGUGUAUGAAGAAGGCCUUCGGGUUGUAAAGUACUUUUGUCAGGUAAGAAAAGCCUGAGGAUAACACCCUCAGGUCAUGACGGUACCUGAAGAAUAAUCACCGGCUAACUACGUGUCUGCAGCCGCGGUAAUACGUAGGGUGCGAGCGUUAAUCGGAAUUACUGGGGGCGUAAAGCGAGCGCAGACGGUUAUUUAAUCAAGAUGUGAAAGCCCCGGGCUCAACCUGGGAACUGCGUUUUGAACUGUGUAACUAGAGUGGUGUCAGAUGGGGGGUAUAAUUCCACGUGUUUGCAGUAAAUGCUGAUUGAUGUGGGAGUGAAUACCUGAUUGUUGAUGUUUUCUUUUUUUUUUUUUUUUUGUGUUGGUGUUGGUGUGGAUGGAGUGAGAAAUUGAUUUUGUGAGUGAUGUUCUGUUUUUGAGAGCCAUGGGGGGUGUGGGCGGUGGUGAGGCGGUGUGCGCGGUAGAUUGAGAAAAAAAACAAUAUUUUUUUGAUUUUUUGGGUGGAUUUUAGAUCUUGGGUUGGUGUAUAAUUGCUGGUGUUGCCGUGUGUGUGUGGCAUAGCGUACUGGACUGUGUGAGCUAUUGAUGUGGUGUGUGUGUGUCUGUGUGUGUUUGCGCAUGGUGUGAGUGACUUGUGCUGUAUGUGUGUGAUGCUGUGUGUGUGGUUUUCUUAGGAUUUGUUGGUGGAUUGUGUGUGUGUGUUGUGGUGUGGUGCU